CUGGGAGGAGGCAGUCACGUUAGGAGCUGGGAGCACAACCAUAUGCAGAGAUUCUAUGGGAAGAAGGCAGCUCACAGGAACGAGAUCCAGAAGCGACAGCACGAGCGGUACGUCCGGGCAGAAGAGGCCGGGGAACAGCCCCCAGCUCCGCUGCUGGAACAGACCAGGAAGAUUACCCAGAAUGCAUUGCUGAAGGCUUCCCCAUAUAACAGCUGCUGC